UACGAAGGGGGCUAGCGUUGCUCGGAAUCACUGGGCGUAAAGCGCACGUAGGCGGCUUUCUAAGUCAGGGGGUGAAAUCCUGGAGCUCAACUCCAGAACUGCCUUUGAUACUGAGGAUCUUGAGUUCGGGAGAGGUGAGUGGAACUGCGAGUGUAGAGGUGAAAUUCGUAGAUAUUCGCAAGAACACCAGUGGCGAAGGCGGCUCACUGGCCCGAUACUGACGCUGAGGCACGAAAGCGUGGGGAGCAAACAGG
rnacentral:rRNA from 1 species